UUUGAAGUUUCCGACAAUUGUUUGAUGAGGUAUUUCCGGUUACGACGAUUAGGAUACCGGGGUACGACUGUUACUCCGACUUCCGACAAUUGGUAUUUGAAUUCCCGACGAUCGUUUGAAGUUCCCGACGAUCGUUUGAAGUUCCCGACGAUCGUUUGAUGUUUCCGACAAUCGUUCAUCUUCAAAGCAAUUCUGUUCGAGGGUUUAAUGAUAGUUCGCUGUUAUGGGCGGCUUUUGGUACGAUAAUAUUACGACGGUUUGGUUUUAACGUAUUUUGAUUAUAAUGAAGUUUUUCUUUUCCUUCUUCUUCUUCUUCUCUUCCUCCUCCUCCUCUUCUUCCUCCAUAUAUACAUUUUCCUCUUCCUCCUUCUCUUCCAUUUCACCUCCUCCUCCUUUCUCUUUCUUCCUCUUCCUCCUCCUCCUCCUCUUCCUUCAUAUAUCCAUUUUCCUCUUCCUCCUUCUCUUCCAUUUCACCUCCUCCUCCUCCUCCUUUCUCUUCUUCCUCCUCCUCCUCCUCUUUCUUUGCCUCUUCCUUCCUCUUCCUUCUUUUUCUCUUCCCUAUUUCUAUCCUUCACCUCCUCCUCCUCUUCCUUACCCUCUUCUUUCCUAUCAUCUCUUCCUCUUCCUCCUCCUCCUCCUCCUCCUCUUUCCUCUCAACCUCCCUCUUCCUCCUCCCACUCCACCUCUUUCCCAGUUUUCUUCCUCCUCUUCCCUUCUCCUUCUCCUCCUCCUCCCUAUCUCCCUCUCUCUCUCCUCCUCCUCCUCCUCCUUUCCUCUCGAACCUACGGACAGCUUGAUGCACUUUCCGAACCCUCUGAAGCUUCACGAAUCCGAAGCAACGAACCUUUAUCGAAACACUUUAUUUUUUUCUUCUUUUUUCUUCCGUUCGUACAAGUUUGAUACACGUAAUGGAUGUGUUAUUAAGAGUUACGAGCUAGUGUCUUUUCCUAUACGGUAUGGUCACCUUCGCAAACCCUCUCUCUCUCUCUCUCUCUCUCUCUCUCUCUCUCUCUGUGUAUGUGGGGGUUUAAUAUGUCGGUUUUUAUGUUUUAUCCUAUACUUUAACGUUUUUUUUAUUUUUUAUGAUGUCGUAACUCUGAUCCGACUUACGACAAUUACUCCGAGUUACGACCAUUGUUGAUUCGACUUCCGACAAUUUCUUCGAGUUACGACCAUCGUUGAUUCGACUUACGACAGUUGUUGAGAGUUACGACCAUUGUUGAUUCGACUUCCGACCAUUACUCCGAGUUACGACCAUUGUUGAUUCGACUUCCGACAAUUUCUUCGAGUUACGACCAUUAUUGAUUCGACUUACGACAAUUACUCAGAGUUACGACCAUUAUUGAUUCGACUUACGACCAUUACUCCGAGUUACGACCAUUAUUGAUUCGACUUCCGACAAUUACUCAGAGUUACGACCAUUAUUGAUUCGACUUCCGACAAUUACUCAGAGUUACGACCAUUAUUGAUUCGACUUCCGACAAUUACUCAGAGUUACGACCAUUGUUGAUUCGACUUCCGACAAUUACUCAGAGUUACGACCAUUAUUGAUUCGACUUACGACAAUUACUCAGAGUUACGACCAUUGUUGAUUCGACUUCCGACCAUUACUCAGAGUUACGACCAUUGUUGAUUCGACUUCCGACAAUUACUCAGAGUUACGACCAUUGUUGAUCCGACUUCCGACAAUUACUCCGAGUUACGACCAUUGUUGAUUCGACUUACGACAAUUACUCAGAGUUACGACCAUUGUUGAUUCGACUUCCGGCCAUUACUCAGAGUUACGACCAUUAUUGAUUCGACUUCCGACAAUUACUCAGAGUUACGACCAUUAUUGAUUUGACUUCCGACAAUUUCUCCGAGUUACGACCAUUCCUUUGAGUUACGACAGUUAUUGACUUGAAGUUCCGAUGAUUAUUUGAUGUUCCGACAACUUAUACGUACUUAGCAUGGACACAAACACAUUAAACUUUUCAAUAGAUUCAACACUUUCCAUCUUUUUUUUUUUCAUUUUUACAAACAACCAAAUUCAAUCCCUCCUUUCUUUCUUUCUUUCUUUCUUUCUUUUCUUUCUUUUGUGAGAGAGAGCGAAGGAUUGCGAAGGGGAACAUCCGCAAACACUUAGGAAGGAGUAAGUUUGAGUUAGACUGUGUGUGUGUGUGUGUGUGUGUGUGUGUGUGUGUGUGUGUGUGUGUGUGUGUUCGUAAGUAUGUUUGUUACUAUAAGUUAUAAUACCCUUCGGCUACCUUAUUACAAUACUGAUGAAAUAGGUUAGGGGGGAGGGGGGUCAGAUGAGGGGGAAGGAGGUCAAAUUAAGGAGGGGUUAAGGGAGGAGGAGGGGGAAGGAGGGGUCAAAUUUGGGGCGUGAAGAGGGAAGAAGGGGAAGGCGUGGUCAAACUGGGGGUCAAAUUAGGGGGAUGAGGGGUGAGGAGGGGGAAGGAGGGGGUGAGAGGGUCAAAUUGGGUGGUCAACUUAUUGGAGGGAAGGGGAGGAGGGGUGCUCAAAUUUGGGGUCAACUUAGGGGGGAGGGAGAGGGGAGGAGGGGGGGAGGGGGGGUCAAACUGGGGGUCAACUUAGGGGGACGGAGAAGCAGGGGGAGGGGUCAAAUUACAGGUGGUGAGGGGGGGAGGGGUGGUCAACUUAGGGAGGGGUCAAGGGAGGAGGAGGGUCAAAUGAAGGGGGGGGGGUCAACUAAGGGAGGUAGGAGGAUCAAAUUUUGGGGGGUCAAAUGAGGGAGGAGGUCAAGUUAUGGGGGGUGAGGGGGAAGAAGGGGUGGUCAACUUGGGAGGCCAAAUUGGGGGUCAAAUUAGGGUGUGAGGUCAAACUAGGGGUCAAAUUAGGAUGAGGUCAAUUCAGGGUGGUGGGUGAAGGGGUCAGGGGGGGGGGUCAACUUGGCAGCCUGGAGGUCGUAAUACAAAGGCGGUGACUGACGGGACUGAUACACGUUUCUACCUCGUAAAUACAAUAUUGGUUUUUAUACAAAGUCUCAAAAGUAAUGUAUUUUAUUUAUAUAUAUAUAGAUUUAUUUCAUCUCUUAAUAUAUAUAGAUCUUCAUUUAUUUAAUCCUAGGCGGAGUUAUACAAGCAGGCAGUCUCUCUCUCUCUCUCUCUCUCUCUCUCUCUCUCUCUCUCUCUCUCUCUCUCUCUCUCU